AUAGCUCACUGGUCGAGUCGGCCUGCGCGGAAGAUGUAACGGGGCUAAACCAUGCACCGAAGCUGCGGCAGCGACACGAUGUGUUGUUGGGUAGGGGAGCGUUCUGUAAGCCUGCGAAGGUGUGCUGUGAGGCAUGCUGGAGGUAUCAGAAGUGCGAAUGCUGACAUAAGUAACGAUAAAGCGGGUGAAAAGCCCGCUCGCCGGAAGACCA
rnacentral:rRNA from 1 species